rnacentral:lncRNA from 1 species
GAAACCAACAACUUUGACGACGACAACCAAGACAACUGCGAGGACAUCGUUAACCCAACAACAUUCAAGACACCGCUAAACCAACUACCACAACAUCAUCCAAGACAACGCCCACCAAGCCCUUCACCUCGAAGACAACCACCAAACCCUCCAGCAGUACCUCCUUUAAGAACGUCGUCCACUUAACCCUGCCACGACAAAGCCGCCGAACACAUCAACGACAACAACCGCAAGCCAACUCUGAGCAGCAAAUUGGCAAAACAACAUCUGCCGGGACCACGUCGGCCAUCUCGGCGACAAUGAGCACAAAGUCCAGCAGCACCUUGAACUCGACAUCAACAACUGAACAACAACAACCAGAAUGGAGGUCAAACGGGCGCAUUAACAUCGACAUUAUGAUCGGGCACUAGAUCAUUGGAAAUAGACCUUUAAUGCUGCAAGAGAGGAUGACAUGCAUUUCGUCCUGUACUUAAAUAAGGGAUGUGUAGAAAUAGCUCAUUAUUAUCCUCUGAUAGCCGGAACUUGAAGACCCUUCAUUCUCGCCAAUAGAGCAGCCACAGUUUUUCAUCCCAGGGAACCAUUCAGCCUUUCGACAAGUUCAACCAGAGCGCAGCCACGAAAGUGGGUACUUUCGUUCUACUGGAAUCGCAACUUCCGACUAAAGUGGUGGCCGUGGAACCCGUGCUGGACGCGCAGCUUGACGUUUUAUAGAGUCCGGGUUUUAUCGACGAUGCAACAUUUGGCUGAGAACUGGAUGGAGAAAAUGCUUGGAAAAUUCUUGUUCCAGCUGUUUGCCGAUGCAGGGAUGGAACAGGUGACACUACACCAGCAUUGUUGUCGUUAGCGACAUUACGACGACAACGACGGCCAAACCUACAACCGACAGCGCCAACUACAACCACCAUGGCUCCAACAACAACUCCUCUACCGAUUCUUUUUAGUUGCAUCCUUCCUGAUCCAGCAGUCUCUACAAAUCCAUUGCGGUAGUCGUCGGGAGAAAAGCGUGAUGCGGAACUGGCACCAAUGUGACAUCAGGGGGAGGUGUCGUCCAGUCUCGCAACUUUCCCGUCCGGAGACUACGGCAAUGAUUCCACAUUUUGCCAAGUCACCAUAAUCACGCCAGUAUAGGAAAGAGAAUCCAAUUGAAAUUCGCCACCUUCAUUGUGGAGACUGACAAAGCCUAUGUUCAGGUUGCCGAUGGUGUCUAGGGACUCUAUUGUUUUCAACAGCCGGAAACACAAUUCCUGCCGCAGUGCCCGUAACAACCAACGUUAUGUCCAUCGGCUUUCAAUCCCAAUACAUUUGGCAGGCGACUUUUUCUGUGACGAGCCAAGGGAGUUCUUGUUCCAUGUUGUAUCUAUCAGAGUGAGGAAAUGUGUGCACCAAUGUGACGUCAGCGGGCACUGGUGUUGUCUAGUAUCCAAACUUCCCCGGAGACUAUUGCAAAUUCUAACAAAUGCGUUGCCGUCAUGGUCGUGCCAGCAAGAAAGCGAAUCCAAUUGAAAUUCACCACCUUCAAUUUGGAGACUAACCCAAGCCUUUGUUUAUGUUGAUGAAGGAUACACGUCUUUAUUGCUCUGUUCAACCGGAAGUACAGCUCCUGCAUAGUCACCUCAACUAGCAACACAAUGUAUUUGCCUUUUUAUAUACCACCGGUAGCAGUAUGAAACCCAAUAAUUGGCAGGCGACUCACACGUUGUUGCGUGACGGUCCAAAUUUCACAUCACAAAUCCUAUUUUCAUUGCAAACGGGCACCGUUUUCAUUUUCUUUCAUCCUGAGCAUGCAGGAAAAUACAACUAUUGCAACAGUACAAUAUCUACAACAGAAAAAGGAACAACAGUUAAGAUAAAGUCACAGUAUAAAAUAACUUGUUUUCCUUCUUUAUCAAGGUGCAUUUUGACAGAAUCAAUUAUCACUUGAAUCUCUAACCCUUUGGAUUUUUAGAAUUAUAUUUAUUAUCCGUUAUAUAACUACCGCAUGUUGUUAUAACAGCCGUUGUUUUUUAAGUAGUGUAGGUGCAUGUGGAUACAGGUGUACCUGGAUGUGGACACGUCAGUACAACUAGCUGGGCAAUGGAAUCAAUUUGUACCGAGUUCAAUUAUAGAUCCAACACAUGCGCACCUGCUGGCAAUGUGGCAUCAGGUGUUGGCUAUUAAUGAGCAAAUAUAUUUUGAUUCCCUCCAUUUUGUAGAACCUGUUGAAGUUGUACUGGACUCCGGCCGACCGGAUAAAAAAGGGGACCGGCCAGUGAUACAGAGACAGGAUUCAACGAGAGCUGCGCAUCGACUCGGCACGGACAACCUUUUUCUCUCCGCAAUCCAGUC